GAUGAACGCUGGCGGCGUGCCUAAUACAUGCGAGUCGAGCGAACAGACGAGGAGCUUGCUCCUCUGACGUUAGCGGCGGACGGGUGAGUAACACGUGGAUAACCUACCUAUAAGACUGGGAUAACUUCGGGAAACCGGAGCUAAUACCGGAUAAUAUAUUGAACCGCAUGGUUCAAUAGUGAAAGACGGUUUUGCUGUCACUUAUAGAUGGAUCCGCGCCGCAUUAGCUAGUUGGUAAGGUAACGGCUUACCAAGGCAACGAUGCGUAGCCGACCUGAGAGGGUGCUCGGCCACACUGGAACUGAGACACGGUCCAGACUCCUACGGGAGGCAGCAGUAGGGAAUCUUCCGCAAUGGGCGAAAGCCUGACGGAGCAACGCCGCGUGAGUGAUGAAGGUCUUCGGAUCGUAAAACUCUGUUAUUAGGGAAGAACAAAUGUGUAAGUAACUAUGCACGUCUUGACGGUACCUAAUCAGAAAGCCACGGCUAACUACGUG
rnacentral:rRNA from 1 species